rnacentral:piRNA from 1 species
UUGGCUGGUAUCGAUGCUACAAGUAAUCCCC